rnacentral:rRNA from 1 species
GACGAACGCUGGCGGCGUGCCUAAUACAUGCAAGUCGAACGCUGAAGCUUGGUGCUUGCACCGAGCGGAUGAGUUGCGAACGGGUGAGUAACGCGUAGGUAACCUGCCUGGUAGCGGGGGAUAACUAUUGGAAACGAUAGCUAAUACCGCAUAACAGUAGAUAUCGCAUGAUAGCUACUUGAAAGGUGCAAAUGCACUACUACCAGAUGGACCUGCCUUGUAUUAGCUAGUUGGUGAGGUAACGGCUCACCAAGGCAACGAUACAUAGCCGACCUGAGAGGGUGAUCGGCCCAACUGGGACUUGAGCACGGCCCAGACUCCUACGGGAGGCAGCAGUAGGGAAUCUUCGGCAAUGGACGGAAGUCUGACCGAGCAACGCCGCGUGAGUGAAGAAGGUUUUCGGAUCGUAAAGCUCUGUUGUAAGAGAAGAACGAGUGUGAGAGUGGAAAGUUCACACUGUGACGGUAUCUUACCAGAAAGGGACGGCUAACUACGUG